rnacentral:ncRNA from 1 species
AUUCACGUUUGUGACUGUGAGUGUGGCUAACCUUAAUUAGCCACUGUUGCUGAUUGUUGGGAAGGUGUAGGGACGACCCUUUUAGGGUUUUCCUGCAUAACGGGCAUCUUUUUUAAGAUGCCA